rnacentral:rRNA from 1 species
UACGGAGGGGGCGAGCGUUAUUCGGAAUUAUUGGGCGUAAAGGGCGCGUAGGCGGCUUCUUAAGUCAAAGGUGAAAUCCCUCGGCUCAACUGAGGAACUGCCUUUGAAACUGGGGAGCUUGAGGCCGGGAGGGGGUAGCGGAAUUCCCAGUGUAGCGGUGAAAUGCGUAGAUAUUGGGAGGAACACCAGUGGCGAAGGCGGCUACCUGGACCGGCACUGACGCUGAGGCGCGAAAGCGUGGGUAGCAAACAGG